AAGCAGCCAUUGGGGUUUCCGCGCUCCACUCAAAGGCGGCCAACGAUGUUGAGCAGUCCCGGGUGGCAUUGAAGUUUUUGGGUGGUGUGGCUUGCAAAUGCAUUCGGGGUGAAUUGGAGGCAAAUCAAAAAAUGCGGCGGCAGCGUUUAUUAUGGGUGUUUUCGGUGGGGUUGUUUUUGAUGGUUUCUGUUGGCAAAUGUGAAACAGGGAAAGAGGAAGUGAGUGCUGCAAAAAGUUUAGUCUGGGGGCCGGGUCUGAGGGCUGAUGUUGUGCUGCCGGUUCGAUAUUUCUAUAUCCAGGCAGUUACCUACACAGGAGAAAAUGUCACCUAUUCUCCCGGAAGUAAUACAUUCAAUGUGGUGAUCAAAGUGCUGUCCUCCAGAGAACAUGUUCGGCGUUACGUACCAGCACCCUUGGAUCGAAAUGAUGGAACUUUUCUUAUGAGGUAUCGAAUGUAUGGAACUGCCAGUGAGGGGCUAAAGAUUGAAGUAUUUCUUCAAGGUCAACAUGUAGGCCAGUCUCCAUAUAUUUUAAAAGGACCAGUCUAUCAUGAAUACUGUUACUGUCCAGAAGAAGAGCCCCAGAAAUGGAAAGAUACUGUAUCUUGUCCUGCAGAAGAGGAACAGAUUUCUAGCGACUUCAUUAAUUUUCCCAGUAUAGAUCUCACACUCCUUCUAGAAGAAGUACCAAACAGAUUUGGUGAUCGAGGAAUUGUUCACUACACCAUAUUGGAUAACCAGAUUUAUCGACGAACCAUGGGACGAUACACUGACUUCAAAAUGUUUUCAGAUGAAAUGCUGCUUUCUUUAACAAGGAAAGUUCGCUUGCCCAAUGUUGAAUUUUAUGUAAAUGUUGGAGAUUGGCCACUAGAAACCCGUCAGAUGAAGGAUAAUCCCUUGCCCAUCAUUUCUUGGUGUGGCUCUGAGGAUACUGCAGAUAUUGUCCUUCCAACAUAUGACAUCACACGCUCUACAUUAGAAACACUGCGUGGUGUAACAAAUGAUCUUCUCUCCAUUCAAGGACAGACUGGUCCUGCCUGGUGUAAUAAAACAGAGCAAGCUUUUUGGCGAGGCAGGGACAGUCGCGAAGAGAGGCUGAAACUAGUCAGGAUCUCCAGAAACAAUCCUGAGCUGUUGGAUGCUGGAAUAACUGCCUAUUUCUUCUUUCGUGAAGAAGAGAAAGAACUUGGAAAAGCGCAAUUGAUCAGUUUCUUUGACUUCUUUAAGUAUAAAUACCAAGUGAAUGUGGAUGGUACUGUGGCAGCUUACAGGUUCCCAUACCUUAUGUUGGGUGACAGCCUUGUAUUGAAGCAGGAUUCUAAAUAUUAUGAGCACUUCUACAGAUCUCUGAAGCCAUGGAAACAUUAUGUUCCACUGAAGAGAGAUAUGAGUGAUGUUAUUGAGAGGAUUAAAUGGGUGAAGGAUAAUGAUGCUGAAGCUCAGAAAAUUGCCAGAUCAGGACAAGCUCUAGCUAGAGAGCUCCUGCAGCCUUCAAGUCUUUACUGUUACUAUUACAUAGUCUUACAGUGGUGAGGGGAGGAGAUAAUCUUUGGAAUUUGUGUGAAAUUGCACCAUUGUGGCGUGACUUGAUGUUGGAUUGGCCUGGAAGCCAAGAGACAUCACUCUCUGCAGAGAAAGAGAUGAAGAUGUACUAAUAUGAUCCACACUUGGUACAUUUAUACCCCGAGUGUCAAGGAGUAUGCCAAAAGGCAGGCUACUAAGCCUGAAAUUCGAGAAGGAAUGGAGUAUGUUCUUCAGCCAACUGAUAAUGAAUCUUUCUGUAAUUGCAAGAGAACAGCCAAUAUAAAGGAAGAACUUUAAUUGUAAUCAAUACCAUUGCCUCUGUUAAUUUUGUAUGCAAAAAUCUCUCUUUCUUUCUUAGACUGUUUCCAGAAAGGGCCUGAAGUAAUGUACAUUUAGACGUGAAUGUCAUUUUCAGUAGCUAUUAUUCACCACAAUUUUUUUCCCUCUCUAAGCCUAUUGCUGCUUUUGUGUAAAAUGUUAAUUCUACCUUCGUGGUGUCAAAUUGACUAUAUGAAAUGUGAAAUUAGAAGCUGAACUUAUAGCAGGAGUGAUAUGCUGAACUUUGUAACUUGGGAUUAGUUUGUAGUAGUUACUUGAAAGUAGUUCAAGCUAUCAUUUGUAAUUCAAAACACACCAAAUUGUAUUUAAUCUGGUUUUAUUUGUCAGUAAGCAUGAUGCAAAGUGUUGCAUCUAGUCUAUCAGGGCUCAUCUGACUUGAUCCUAGAAUCAGAUUUGUAUUUAUUACGGGACAGUUUUCAAAACAAAUUUACUUCAAAGUAGGCUCGCUGCAUAUAUAGAUAUAGUGGAUUUUUUAAGACUUGUUUUGUAAAAUACAAUUCUAAUAUACUUUCACCAGAUAUGUUAUAUAUUAAAUUGUCAUACUAGUUGUGCUGAAAA